AUGGGGACCAUCGCGCGCGGGCGGGGCACGGGCCUGGAAAAAUACAGCCUUUGUGGCGGCGCGUGUCACUCACGGCCGGGACCUCGGGCGGCGGGCUGGGCUCUGUCGUCCCAGCUGCAAUGCUUUGGCAGAGGGGCCCCUGGGCCAGGACCAGGACCCCUGGGCAUUCUCAAAGUCCCCAAACAGCCGCUGGCCCGGUGUCACUCUCCAGCACUCUCGGGACCGGGCGCACAGCGGUCGGUCUCUUCCUCACAGCCAAUGUCCAACCCCGAGUCUGCACAACAGAGGCUCGAGCAAGGCCCGAAACCGGACCUUCCUUUCGCGCAUCUCUGGGCACACGCGGUAGUCCUGGGUGCACACUGCCCCACAGAUCCGUGCGGGUUCCAAAAGCCUGUGCCACUGGCUCAAACGCCGGCUACUGCGUCCACCCCGUGUGGAGUGAGGCCUGCACGUGAUACACAUAACAUUCCUGAGUGGCUGAAAACCCCUCUGUUCCGCACCACUAACAGCAUCCUCCGGGGCCAGGUACCUGUAGGCCCUCACAGUGAAUUCGCUCGUGCACGCGGCCAGCACACCCAUUGCAUGCUUCCCCGCGCGGUCACGUGCAGCACCGCUUACCGCGUGCGUCUCGGCGGCCACAUCCUGGCACUCGCCACGAACACUCACCACGCGUGUGCUCAGGGGCUCGCACACGUGCACUUUGUCGAGGCACACUUACUCGCACACUCACAUUCUUGCUUGCUGAGGGUCCACUCGCUGGCAUACCCACGUGUUCCUCCAAACACACCGGGCAGAGCCGGGGCGCACACUCGCCGCCCGGCGAGCCCCCCGCGGACGCUAUCUGCCUGCCCAUCGGCGCGCGGAUCUGCGGUGGUAAAUGCUGCAUUCGAUGGCGGGCGCAUUUGUUGUGCGCGCUCUGAAAGGGCUGCGAUAAUCUGGAAGGCAGAGAUAAGAAAGACCAUUUAUUCCGCGGCACUUUGGAAACAAUUCCCAGCCCUGUACAACCCCAUUCUCGGGCAGCCUCCGGGAGCCGGGCAGAUAACGAUUGGCUAUUCAUUAUCUUCGCCGGGAACAAAGAUUAGCCGGCCGAGAUGA
rnacentral:lncRNA from 1 species